rnacentral:tRNA from 1 species
UCAGAGAAUAGUUUAUAAAAAUACUAACUUUGGAAGUUAGAGAUGGUGUUUCUACAUCUUCCCUGAA